rnacentral:rRNA from 1 species
AGCAGCCGCGGUAAUUCCAGCUCCAAUAGCGUAUAUUAAAGUUGUUGCAGUUAAAAAGCUCGUAGUUGAAUUUCGAGAUCAAUUUAUUGGUCGUGCAAUAGUACGUACUGGUAUUAUUGGUUCCUACCUUCUGAUGAACCAUGAUGUCAUUAAUUUGGUGUUAUGGGGAAUCAGGACUGUUACUUUGAAAAAUUAGAGUGUUUAAAGCAGGCUCACGCUUGAAUACAUUAGCAUGGAAUAAUGAAAUAGGACGUUUGAUCCUAUUUUGUUGGUUUCUAGGAUCGACGUAAUGAUUAAUAGGGAUAGUUGGGGGCAUUAGUAUUCAAUUGUCAGAGGUGAAAUUCUUGGAUUUAUUGAAGACUAACUACUGCGAAAGCAUUUGCCAAGGAUGUUUUCAUUAAUCAAGAACGAAAGUAGGGGAUCGAAGACGAUCAGAUACCGUCGUAGUCUUAACCAUAAACUAUGCCGACUAGGGAUCGGAUGAUGUUUAAUUUUUAANGUA